GGCCGUUUGGUGGAGUGGUCUAACACGUACGACUCAAGAUUAGUCUUGAUUCUGUAAAAGGAUUUCGUAUCUCGCAAGAGGCCUGGGUUCGAAUCCCAGAGCGGUCA